AAAGGCUCCAGCUCCCGAUGGUCGACCAGGCUGAACUCCCUGAUGAAGUAGUAAAAGUGCUUGUAGCAGGUGUUGACGUGAGCCUCGGCACCCAUGUUGAUGAUGCUGUCAAAGUGAUGGAUGUAGACAUGGACAAAGACACGGAAGAGGCGGGUGAGGAUCUUAGUGCAAACCUGCUGGAACUGCCUGGGGAAGGGGACACCUGCAAAGCAGAAGCAAGUUGGAAGCCAUUUGACCAUUUCUGGAAAAAAAAAAAAAAAAACAGAAAAACAAAACAAAACAACAACAGCUAGAGUGUAAGUGUUGCUGCCAUGCUUAACAGGCAGCCACGGGUGAAAGACUCCCUUGGCCAAUGUCAAGGUGACAGCUCCAGCAGGGCAGUGUGCCAUCCAGCUUUCUCCCUUGCCCAAUUUCCUCAUUGCCCAACUAGCAAUUUUCUGCAGGCAUAUUCUGGCAAUCUGGGGAGUUUCCCUAGGAGAGAAAAUGUCUCAUCCAAUGUCAGAGGCCACAUCUUUCCCUGUCUGGAUAGCUCUGUCCCGCCCUUUCCAUACGAACCUGAGCAAACCCAGCACAGCACAAAUGUCUUUACCCGGGUCUACGAACAGAACAAAACCUCCUCUCAGCAGGACAGAAACCUUCCCUGCUCCUCAGAACCAAAACCAUGGGUUGUGCUAUCUUUCUUCCUCCACACGCCCUCAAACAUCACUUCUGAUGCAUCAACAGAAACAGGUGGGGUUCCAGCUUUCCUCCUGAGCCUUGUUUCAAACAAUUGUGUCAUUAAAUCAGGAACAGAAAUGCCCGUCUUGGCAAUCCCUACGUAGUCAUGUCAUUGCGCCUGUAUGAUGCUCCCUACUGAGUCGUCCAGGAACUGGACCCACCACACUUUACUCUAUGCUUUUAGCCUUGUCCUGCACAAGGACACAAUUUCUUACUCUACGUUUCCACCCUUGCCUAAACACACUAAUUUCACAGUGAAAAAUCUCAGAGGUAUAACAGGGUCCGUGUCAGCAAGCAAAUCUCUAAAGGAAACCUGGCUUUUGAAACCCCUGCAAAUAUUUUUUUGGAAGGUGGAAAAUGAAACGAUUAUGAUUUGUUUUCUUGACGGUUCUUCCACUCCCCUGAGCAAUUCAAUGCAAAUCUGCAACAAGCAAAAUAAAAUCCUCCCUUCCCACAGCUGUACCUACCUCCUCCCUUAGCUUCUUACUAAUACAGCACUUAACCUCUUAAAAAUCUUUCCAAAUAAUCUCUGGAAAACAGUGGCCAGCUCAGGCAUGACGUUGUGGAUAGCAUCAGCAAAUCUCUCGGCUAAAAAAGAAUAAAAAUGGUAAUUUGAGUCUUCCUCAUCAGCCCCGCCAGGCAAUUAACUUGUUUUUCCUACUGGCUCCUGGCAGUUUUGUUUGCCAGCAGCAGUGCCGUGCCCCUCUCCUCCAGGGGUGGCAAAUGUAAAGGAUCUGUUCGUGCCUGGAGCCUGGUUUAUCGAUGGCCAGGGUCCCAGCACUCGGGGCAGAAAGGGACUUUGGUCAGGACCAGCAUCACCCUCAGCCCAGCCCCGCUUUGCUUCACGCAGGGGGCAGAAGUUGGGAGCUCAGGCCAUGGGUGGGUGGCUCGGCUGCCUCCUGAGGGGGACACACGUCUCGGCACAGCCUCACCUGGACGUGGAGAGGUGCUCUGAGACUGGCUCACGGCCACUGCCCUGCGUAAACGUCAGCAUCCUGCGGCAGCGCAAACCCAGCAGGGUCUUUGGCAUCACCCAUUAGGAUGCUAAUAGGUCCUGUAGGGCUUUCUGGGAGAGAUGCUUCCAUCUGGCAAGGUACCCGCGGGCCUUCCCCAUGCCACCAGCAUGGGGAUCUGCUUCUGCCCUCACCCCGUGACUGUGGACCUCUCCCUGCCUGCUGUCUGCUGAGGCAGGGACCAGGGAGCAGGCCUCUGGGCUUCCCUGCUGUCAGGAAGGGUGCCGUGCUUUAGCAAAGGCUUCACUGGGGCUUUUUGCACUGAAUGAGAAUUUGCUAAGCAAAUAAAAGCCCUAAUCACCCAGCUGGGGCCAGAGACAAGCCAUUAGGGUGGCCCCUACGGAGCACCUUUGAGGAACCAGUCAAGAAAUAUUUCUUUUAAUAAAGAAAAAUCCAUCAGAGCGAGUAAUUUCCGAUGAAUGCAGAUUCCCAGAACCCAGCUGGGAAAUACAGGCUGUUCUGAACAGUGUCUGUGGUCCUGAUACUGCUGUUGGAGGAUCCACCUCCAGAGCUGGUGCGUGGUGGUGAGUGGCUUUCCUCUGCCUUUGUCCUGAGGUUAGCCAGGAACCGUCUUGUCCUACAAACCAGCUGCCAGCAACGUCUUCGUGCACAUGCUGAAGAGAGCUGGAGGGGCAGACGCAUCCAGCUACGACCUGGGUUCUUCAAAAGCAUCUCUUGCAUCAGGGAACAGAGGUUCCGCAUAAAUCUUGUGGCUGACAGCAACUCUGGGAGCUGUUGAGCUAUCAUGCUCCGAAUGAUGCCUGGAGAGAUAGCAUCGGGCUGCCAAGAGCUCUAGGCACCCUUCUGGGCUACCCCGCCUCUGUGGUUUCCCCUGAGCCCAGCAGCACCAUCAGCUCCUGGGACGUGAAGCUGGGCUGCUCUUCCUUGUGUCCAUCACAAGGUGUCAGUGUGAGGCUGUCCUCUCCGGGCACGGCCAGGCUGCCGUGGUGGCUGGCUGUCACCUGUGGACUUCAGCAGGUCACCUCUCACCCCACCACGUCGUGACACCACCGCCUGCUGUGGUCCUUUGGGUCCAGGAAUUUUGAGUAUCUGGUUCUGGCUCCUUCUCCCCACAUCCCCCCUCUUGCUCGCACGCACCAGCAUGUCAGGAUGUCAGGAAAAGCAUUUACACGCGACACCAGCUCUUCUCCUCCGGCUGCGGUCCCAGCCACCACCCAGACACUGACCCGCCAGCCAGCGGCCAGUAUCAUCGCCUCUCCCAAGCAGAAACGGUCCUAGCAGGAGCUGAGCGGGGAAAUGGAAAGCAUCACAAGCGCUGGAAGGCAGGACAAGGGCUGUAAAUCCAGCAGCAGGUACGAUUUCAUCGCUGCGGCGCAGCCGGGGCGCUGGCGAGCGGUGUGACUCACCGCCCUGCCACGAGUCAGCGUCUUCAGUUAUUCUUGGAUGUUUUCCUUGAAACCCCACGAUGUGAUUCAAUGCUCCGAGGAGUCUGUUUUCCACCCUCUGCGCUGAUUGCUUCAAAACGUAAGGAAGCCAUGUGGGACCACGAGGAAAAGGAAAUGAAACCGAGAGGUCAGCUACGUUGGUUGGGAGAACGGAAACAGAGCACUAAGCGUGUGUUAACUGAUACGGGUCGUCUGGGAGAGCUGUAGGUGAGUUAUAGCAGCCAGGCUCACCCCAGCCAGGAAACUGUCUCAUCGUGACCGGCGGACAGACAGGUUUCCUUCCAGAGGGAGGAUUUAUACAGCAAAGCCUUUCAGUGGGACUGAGCCCUGCGGGUAGAUUUCCCUGUGGUUGGGGAAGAUGCAGCAUCUCCUCCACCCUCACCGUCUCCUCCAAUUUCCAAGCCCAGGACGAAGGAGUCCCCCACUCUGACCCGCGAAGAGCCUCUCCCCUAGCUGCCAGUACAGCCAUGAUCCAGCCCCGCUGAACCACGCGCCGCUUUGGGUUUUGUAGCUUUUGUUGGGCAGGGGUGCUGAGGUUAGCCACAGGCAUCGUUAGCAAGUUUGGGUAACACUUGCUGUUUCUGAAAAAAAAAAAAAAAAAAGUCUGCUUUGUCUGCA